rnacentral:rRNA from 1 species
AUUGAACGCUGGCGGCAUGCCUUACACAUGCAAGUCGAACGGUAACAGGCCGCAAGGUGCUGACGAGUGGCGAACGGGUGAGUAAUGCAUCGGAACGUGCCCAGUCGUGGGGGAUAACGCAGCGAAAGCUGUGCUAAUACCGCAUACGAUCUAUGGAUGAAAGCGGGGGACCGUAAGGCCUCGCGCGAUUGGAGCGGCCGAUGUCAGAUUAGGUAGUUGGUGGGGUAAAGGCCCACCAAGCCAACGAUCUGUAGCUGGUCUGAGAGGACGACCAGCCACACUGGGACUGAGCCACGGCCCAGACUCCUACGGGAGGCAGCAGUGGGGAAUUUUGGACAAUGGGCGCAAGCCUGGUCCAGCAAUGCCGCGUGCAGGAAGAAGGCCUUCGGGUUGUAAACUGCUUUUGUACGGAACGAAACGGUCUGGGUUAAUACCCUGGGCUAAUGACGGUACCGUAAGAAUAAGCACCGGCUAACUACGUGCCAGCAGCCGCAGUAACAC